rnacentral:snRNA from 1 species
GUGCUCACUUCAGCAGCACGGAUACUAAAAUGGGAAUGAUACAGAGGUUAGCGUGGCCCCUGUAUAAGGAUGACAUGCAAAUUUGUGAAGCGUGCCAUCUUUUU